AAAAGCUCCCCACCCCCCUACCUCAUCCCUUUUAAAUCAAAGCUGGACCUGGUAACAUCUGUAGAUCAUUAAUGUUAUCUUCAGUGUCUGUGGCUCAUUGCUCUUAUAUAAACCCUCAGCUUAGGCUGGUUUGCAGCUUAUGGGAUGCUUUACUAAGGAAAAAGAUUGGGAGCACUUGGGGGAGGGGAAAGGAAGAAAUGGAAGUGCUUCACUUGGGGAAAAGAUGGUGAAACGUGUCUCUGAAAUGGGAAGAGAAGCCAUCAACCCUUAAAGUUCUGUUUGAAGAGCUGGGAAAUGUUCUACCAACCUGAUGAUGAAAAGCUGCUUUAGGCUAAGAAGGACAUUUUAUCGUGUUGGGGACUUCAAAGGACGGCACCAGAUAAGCAGCAGAGAAACACAGAUUAGCUGAGACAUCAACAAUUGUUGGAUGAGGUCAAUUAAAAGCCAAAUUAAACAAAUGGGGCUUUCAACUGUGAUCCAGACAGGAAGAAGCAGUUGAGUUGCAAGGGUUGGAGAUUAAAAGAAUUCCAAAGGGCUUAUGCAGAACAGGAGCAUGGGGGUGGGAAGGGCAGGGGGAGGCAGGGGGAAAGAUAUCUUCCACCUAUUGUCUUCAGACAGGACCAGAACUCAUCUGGAUCCGUCCUACUUGGAAGAACUGGAAGGGAAGAGCCCAGGCCAAGCAAAGGCACUUUGGUGCCUUAAAAAAAAAUAAAAAAUAAAAAAUAAAUGAAGGCAAAGCAGACUCCUGGAGGAAGGGACAGGGCGAGGGAGGGUGAGCGUGAGCUGACCUGCAGCUGGCAGAGCCGUGGCCCAGCAGUGAGAACAGGCAGGUUUUGUGCCAAGUCGAUUCUAGGUCACGUAACCAGAGCUGAGCUGCUGAGUCACUCUGCAGAGCCUUCCAAAAGCACUUCGUACACCUCUGACUGCCACAGUCAAACCCAUCUUGAAGCAGGGGUCAGGACAGGAGGGAACCUUGCUGUGAAAACAAGGUGCUGUCUGAAUGUCCCACGGGUGGCAGUGUAAAGUUUUCGGUGCUGAGCCCACAGUAAGGACCUCUGAGUCAAUGGCAGAGUACACCUGAAACUGGUAUAAAAAAGACUGGUUUUGUUUCUUAGGGAAGAUUUUUCAGAAAAUCACAGUAUUAUGCUUUGCGCAUCCAAUCCACUAACUUGUAUGCAGCAUCCCUCAGUUUUGGUCUAAGUUUGUCUUGUGUCUUCACACAGGUAUUUGAAAGUCAUGGGUCACGUUUGCUGUUUUAUGGAUCACCAAAGCAGACAGCGUCUGUCUGCUCUCUCACUUAAAGCAAGCUUCUUAGAUUUUGAUUCUGAAAGUUGAGGUUUUCUUAACUCCUUUCUGUUCUUCAAGGUGCUUUUUGAAGUGUGGACAACCAAAGCAAAUGCUGUCCCACUAGCAGUGAUAGACGAGCGUGAUUUAUGAGCAGGUCAAACCCUCCCCCUAGGCUGCCUUGAUGUUAUUUUUUAACAUCUCCAGGGUUUGGUCCCUUGAGUAUUAAAAAAAAUGGAUAAAAACCGAUCAUAUUCAAAUGACUGUUCCAAACACCUUCACAGAAUCAUUGUUUUCCUUGCUUUGGCCUCCCAAGUUUGCCCUAAACUCGUAGCUUUGAUUUCUAAAUGGAAAUAAUAUUGAUGAUCUCCAAAUGAAUGUCUUCAAGCCUAUGCUUCUAUUUGGGCCAUUUGACUCAAUCAAGAAGCUUCAAACAGUGGAGUAUAAUCCCAAAGAGAUUAUGAUAAUGGCAGAUUAGAGGAGCUAGAUGGCAGAUUCAUGAUUUCUUGCCCAGAGAAAAGCUACAGCAUGAUCUCAGCAAUUAUCUAUUGUGCUUGGCCAGAAGGACCAGAGUUUGGAACCAGCCACGGGUACGCAACCACUUACUGAGAUCUAGGAACAGGAGAGGAGAUAAGGAAAGGGUUGCAGAAUGUGGGAAUGUGGCAAAUAUUCAUAGAAUAUACAAAGAAGAGAGAAGAUUGUUGCAUGGG